CGCCUCGUCCGUCCACGCCAAGGGCGCUUCCUCGGCGCCGCCCCGUCCGGGCGCCCCCCGCUUGCUCAGCCCUUGACGCAACCCGGGGGCGGGGAGCACCCCCGGCGCAUGCGCCCUGCGCAGCCCUAUUGUCUCUCUCGCUUCCCUGCCACCCCCCGCCCCCGACAGCCGUCAGGAGGACUGGCUGGACCGACGGCGCGGCGGCCCCAGCAGCAGCGCAGGACAAAGGCGGCCUCCUCCUCCUCCCCGGGCAGGGCGGCCCAGCGAGCCAGCCGGAGCAGCGCCGGGAAGGAAGGCCGCCCUUGCGCCAUGGCCGGCCCGGGCGCGCCUUGACGGGCGGAGCGGCUGCCGGCCUCUGCUCGCCUCGCCUCCGGGCCUCGCCUCCCUUUCCCGGAUGCGGAGCCGCGCCGGAGGAGCCGCGCAGGGCCGCCGCCGCCAGAGCAGCAGCGGCUGCUCGGGCUCGCCUUCGUCGUAGGGCGCGCCCCGAGGGCGGGGCGGCGGCGAGGGCUCCACUGCCUGGCCGCCGUGGAUGAGCCCGGCGGGAGGCGCAGCGGCGGGCCGCCCGGCGGGGCGCGGCGGCUGGGGCAGAAGGAGGCGGCGACGGCGGAGCGGCGGCAGGAGGAGGAGAAGGAUGCCCGGGGGCUGCCCCCGCGAGGGCUGCCCUAGCUGCUGCUGCUGCUGCUGCGGCCGCCGCCGCCGCUCCUAGCUGCUGCGCGCUGCUCCUCCUCCCGCUCUCCUCCUCCCGGUCGGCGGCAUGGGCGGCAAGCAGAGCACGGCGGGCGCGGCGACGGCAGCGGGGCGCUCUCGGGGCGGCGGCGGCGGCGGCGGGCCCCUGGCCGGGGUCUCGAGCGACGACAGUGCGGUGCCGCCGCCCGGAGGAGCCCCCCACUUCGGGCACUACCGGGGCGCGGGCGGCGGCGGCGGCGGAGGGACGGCGAUGGGCUUGCGCAGCCGCUCCGUCAGCUCCGUGGCCGGCGUGGGCAUGGGCAUCGGCGUGGAGCCCGCGGCGGCCGGCAGCGUCCCCUUCGGCCUCUACACGGCGGCCUCGACGGCGGCAGCGGGGGCCGCGGCGCCCGGGGACUCGGAGCGGGGUCCCGGCGGCGCCGACUCCACCCCCUACGCCCAUGGCAACGGUUACCAGGAGACGGGAGGCAGUCACCACAGAGACGGGAUGCUCUACCUGGGCUCCAGGGCCUCGCUGGCCGAUGCGCUGCCGCUCCACUUCGGACCCCGGUGGUUCAGCUCGCACAGCGGCUUCAAGUGUCCCAUCUGCUCCAAAUCCGUGGCUUCCGACGAAAUGGAAAUGCACUUUAUCAUGUGUCUGAGCAAGCCUCGCCUCUCCUACAAUGAUGAUGUACUCACGAAGGACGCGGGCGAGUGUGUCAUCUGCCUGGAGGAGCUCCUGCAAGGGGACACGAUAGCCCGCCUUCCUUGCCUGUGCAUUUACCACAAGAGCUGUAUAGAUUCCUGGUUUGAAGUGAACAGAUCCUGCCCGGAACACCCUUCGGAUUGACCUCUCCCAAGUAAGAACAUGAAACACAAAAGAAAAGCCCUCAGAGGAGGUAGAUAUAGGAUGGCAUGAUAAAACGGAGGUUCUCCAACAUGGGCCGCGAAUGUCGUGGGGACUCCAGCUCCCAUCUCCAAAGCGCCAGACAAAAACUUUGACAGUCCACUUGCCAGUCCCCCUCGCCAUCCAUCCUCCCGCACCCACCCAGCCUCCUUCAAGCCAGCUCCGGAAUCCACCCGGAUGACCAUGGGGUGGGGGUUGAUGUUCCUUCUGGACUUCAAGGGCAGACCAGACCCCAAAGCGAAGCUGCCCCCUUUGCAGGGCCACGCCUCGGCAGCCGCCAGCCUGCGGGGAGAGGAGCGCCAUGCCCAAGGGCCAGAGGACGCCAGCCCUCCCAGCGGCGCCAUGAUGUUUGGUCCAGACCUGGCUGCUAGCCAAACGGAGCACGAGAGCGAGCGAGUCGGAGAGCGUUGCCACCGGUCAAGGACUCGGACCCGUCGCCAGAGGGCGGCUCACACUUUUGCACUGACAAGGUGGUUUUCCCCCCCUUCUCCUCCCCCCCACCCCACAACCACUGGAGCAGGAAGAGGACACCAUCACCGCCAUCCCGGCCUACCCCCCCCCCCCCCCACUUUCGGAGGAGGAAAGGGCGUUUUUCUGUCACGUUUUUGGAGGCGUCGUAGGUUUGUCUUUCAAGUGUUUACAAAAACAGCCAUUUUCGUGUCAACUGGUGUGUGUUCCUGGUGAUGUUUACAAGACUGCAUCCUUCUGGCCUCCCCGCUGGCGCGGUUUAGCCACUGAACAGCCGAGACCCGUCUCUUCUCUUCCCCGCCCCUCUGCCCCCCACCUGGGGGCACCCCACCUCAUGGCCAAACGUCCCCUGGUUUUUUCUCCCUUCCUUUUUCUUGGUUUGGUCUCCCCACUCCGGGGGGGGGGGGGCUUGGGGGGCCUUCAGAAGGGCUGUUGCUAAGAGGCCUGAACCUUUUCUUGGCCCUGUGUGGAAAAACAAACAAAACCAAUGGUGAUUUCCCCCCCCCCCUCUUAAAAGCCACACUGACACACACCUCUUCCCCUCCCAAUCCACAUUUGAGCACGAAGCAGAGAUUGUUCUCAGCCAUGGGGAAAGCCCCUGCCGGGAGCCUCUAUCCAGCAGGAAAGGGAUCUGUAUUUAUAUAUUAAAAGGAAAAAAAACUUUAAAGUUACAAACAAAAACUUCAAAGCUUGGGAAGGGAAGCUUCCCCUAUUAGUCAAAGUGUUUUGAUAUGGUAUUAAAUAAUGUUCAAUAAAAUAGUCACUGUUAUUUUA